rnacentral:rRNA from 1 species
GAUGAACGCUGGCGGCGUGCCUAAUACAUGCAAGUCGAGCGAACGGACGAGAAGCUUGCCUUUCUGAUGUUAGCGGCGGACGGGUGAGUAACACGUGGAUAACCUACCUAUAAGACUGGGAUAACUUCGGGAAACCGGAGCUAAUACCGGAUAAUAUUUUGAACCGCAUGGUUCAAAAGUGAAAGACGGUCUUGCUGUCACUUAUAGAUGGAUCCGCGCUGCAUUAGCUAGUUGGUAAGGUAACGGCUUACCAAGGCAACGAUGCAUAGCCGACCUGAGAGGGUGAUCGGCCACACUGGAACUGAGACACGGUCCAGACUCCUACGGGAGGCAGCAGUAGGGAAUCUUCCGCAAUGGGCGAAAGCCUGACGGAGCAACGCCGCGUGAGUGAUGAAGGUCUUCGGAUCGUAAAACUCUGUUAUUAGGGAAGAACAUAUGUGUAAGUAACUGUGAACAUCUUGACGGUACCUAAUCAGAAAGCCACGGCUAACUACGUG